UGCGAUCAGAUCAAAAGACACAAAACGAACUUCGGCAAUCGUUUUGGGUAUGGGGCUACGUUAUAAUCUAGUUUUCGUGUUCUUACUCUACAUGCACUUAAUAAUGGCACUUGCGAUUGACCAGUCGCCAGGCGUCCUCCUAAUCGAGCAGGGAAAGACCACGAAUGUCACCUGUACUCAGAAAACUACACAUACCAACAUGUAUUGGUACUUGCAGCGACCAGGACACACGCAGCUCCAACUCAUUCUGUAUUCCAUAGAAGGAAUCAAAGACACAUUUUUGGAAAAGGGAUGGGAAGAAGCCUUUACAGGUGAAAGGAAGUCAGCAGCAUCCCUUAUUCUGUCUCUGAAGAGCGCACAACCUAGCCAUAGCGGGAUGUAUUUCUGCGCAACGCAAGAUGCACAGUGAGCUCCAAUGACGUGGCACCCCUCCAAAAACUGCAACA